UGCAGCCAUGGUGCCAAGCACAGUACCUGAUGUACAGCAGGUACUCCACAAAUGUUUGCUAAAUCAACAAGCUCACCGACCCGGGUCACUAGAGCAUAAUUCAGGGAAACAUUUAGUUCUAACUUUUA
rnacentral:snoRNA from 1 species